rnacentral:lncRNA from 1 species
GUCAAAUUCUCUGUCGCGUGUCUUGAUUGAUAGACACGGUAAAAAACGUAAUUUGAACCACGGUUGUGAUUCAUUCGCUUCGUUGUUUCAUAUUGCUCGCGAUGAUACAUUUAUAGUUUUGAUCUUUCGAUAUGUUUUAUUAUAUAAUGAAACACGCGAUUAAUUUAAACAUGAGAAAAUUCCGUUAUACUGUUAUAAAACGUACAAACCGACGAUGAUAUGAUUCGUUUCCUAUGUAUCGUAUUUCAAAUCCAUUCGUUACAUUUUCACGUUACACCUCCAUUUCCUGUAAUUAGAAGCGUUCGUGCGAAUCGAUCAUCACCAUGCACUCGAUCGCUUAUAAACGAUUCUUGUGAUUUUAUUUGCAUUUGUAUCCUAUAAUUACUUUCAUUCGUAAAAUCUUUCUUCACGUUCUAACGAAUCACAUCAUAGGUUAUAACUUACUAUAGUCGAACUCGUACGAUAACCGGUAUAGCAUCUUCACUGAUCUACAGAAACGGAUAUUUUUAUCUUUCGAAGCAUUUAUAAAACGAAUAUUGAAAAUUUCAUCAACGAUCAAAGAAUAAUCCAGAAAGUAUCAUUGUGAGUGCAACGAUAUAUUCUAUUGAAACUUUGUCAAAAGGCGAUAUCAUUUCUUCUCGAUUAUCCGUUACCAAUCGAUCAUCGAAUCGUUGAUUUUGUCGUUUCGAUCCAACCACGAGAAUUGCGAGCGAAUCUUGGCGCAUAAUAACGCAAGAUUCUCGAAACGGAUCGAUUUUCGGAUCGUUUUCGAAGAAAGCAUAUUUUCGAUCUUUGUCUUUAGGAACCAGUUCUCGAUUCGUAUAUUUCACGAACAAAAACAGGAAUUGUAAAUAGUAAUUGUCGAGAGCGAAGCCUUUCUCACUACACUACACAUCCACCGAGGAAACGAUGCCUUAUGGCGAGCUGUUCCACGGUCAUACUAUGGCCAUGGUGUGUAGGCAUCGUUGAUGGCCCGUUUCAAACUGAGGCCCGCCGAGAGAGAACCAUUCCUGUUCCCAUAGCACGUGGCUUCUCUCUUUUGCUCUCUCCCUCCCUCGCUCUUGCCCCCACUAUUCACUCGUACAAUCCCCAUCACUCCUUCUCUUUCUCUCUUACUCUUCCCGAUUCUCUUUCUCACUCCUUAUUACCUCAGCACACGCAUACGCUCUUUCCUUUUUUCUCUUUCGAAUCCUCAUGUAGAUACGAUAUACCUUCCCUUUAACAUAGUCUCUGCUAUACGUUUCAUCUCGCAAUAUUCCUAUCUAUCCGUGUUUCCUUCGUUCUCGCACCGCAUUUCGCUACCCGCGCCCUCUGUUUCUCUACCGUCCCUCUCUCUCUCUCUCAUCUUUCCACCAUCUCUGUUCUUCUCGAUAUUAAACCCCAGAUUCAUCCCUUCUCGUUUGUUCGUGUUCACCCCCAUAAAGUCCUGUUCGUUCUUUGCCCUCGAAUCUCCCAAUCCCGUCUACUCUCUUCGUUCUUCUCUUUUCGUCGUUUAUCUAUCUUUCUCCUUCUCCCUCUCCCUUCCCAUUUCCCGUACGUUAGUACCUACUACCUCCGUGAAUUUCCCCACCGCACGAACCGACCAAUCAUAUCGUUGGCCUUCCAUAAGAGCCAGCCAAUCUCUGACGAGCGUUUUCUAUUGUGGAUUUUUAAAUCAUUUUUAUGCGUGCAUACCUUCAGCACGUGCACGUACGAAGUAUUGUACCGAGCGCAACAAUACGUUGUGUGUGCGCCCGUACGAGUCUCGUACGAAAAGAGUUUGAGUGGUUUGAAAAAUCUAUUUAAUUGGCAAUUCAAACGUUAUAUACGAUUUAAUGGAUUCAUGGAAGUUAUUAAUGGUAAUUUAAUAUAUCUCUCGUGGAACAAUUGAAUACUGUUUACAUACAUCGUACGAAGCUGGUAAAUUUUAUACGAUUCGAUUAAUUGAUACAAAUAUAUUUGAAAACUUUGUUGAAUUAUCGUCUAUGUUUAAGAUAUUUUAAUUAUUUAAUCUUUAUUUAUUAUGAAAUUUUUUAACUACACAUACAAAAUUUUUUAUACACAAAGUUAUUCAUAUUCUUCAUGGUGGUAUGCAUGACAUGUUUUUCGAUUUAUUACAGUGCGUGAAAUUGACAUACGAGAUGAAGGUUAAAAGUCAAUAAACUAGAAUGCACGCGUAUAAAGCUUCUUGAAUGAAUUGAUAUUUAUCUUUUUAACUUGUUUGUUCGUACGAGUUUAAAAUGCAUAUAAAUAAACUACGUGUUAUCGUGUUUCAUAAACCUUUUUUACUAAACAUAUAUAAUAAGAAAAUGAUAUCGUGUUUUUGUCUUUUUUUUUUUUAAAAAACUACAUAUAUAUGUAUCACGUAUCAAAUCCGUAAUUAGAAAAGAUAUAAUUCUUAUUUAAAAACCGGUAUUGAUGAUACAUAUGUUAGAAAAUAUUGAAGAGUAUUUUGAGGUUACCCGUUAUAUUCUCGUUAUACAGACCAGAGCUAUAAUACACCCACAUUGCCUGAAUUGUGUUGAAGAGGGAGUUUCGAUGUAUACGUGCGGUUAUAUUGUGUGGCGAACGUAACGCAACGACUACGGUCUACACUCAGUCGUGGACAUAAUGGAGCAUUGUUAAUAUGUUAAUGCCGAGCGUUCCUAAAGGUUCCGACGGUUUAUGUUUCUCCGUUCCACCGAAGAAUCGUUACACGGUCCAUUAGACGACGAACCUUGAAUUCCACUCGUCACGAAUUUCCCUAUGGGGUCCUUUUUCUAUUUCACUCGUAUCGUUAUAAUUUUUUUAUUAAUUUUAUUAAU